CUGGCCCCGCGCCUCCCGCCCAGUCCUGCGGAGCGGCCCCGGCCGUUGCUAACCCCCGCAUCUGGAAAAAGUGGCUUACCUCAGCGCUAAAGCGAUUACCUCAACAGAGAAAGCCGAACAACCGCGGUGCAGUGAUGACAGGCUCCCUGCCCGGAGGGAAGGGUUGGCUCUGUUCAUGGCUGCCCAGGUGCCGCAGCCUGGAGGCGCUUUUUGAGGCAAACGUGUGAAGAGAGGGACUGCUGACAUGCUAAAAUACAGUUUCCAGCCAACAAAGUUCUUUAUGGUUGAACUACUGAAAUUGUCAUCAAGGCAGACAACAAGCAAGUAAAAAAUAAUGGUUGAAGUUCUUGCAUAGAAGAUAGAAGCUGGAAUCCCCACAGGCACAGGCAAUGAAUAACUGGAUGUUACACUGUAAUCAAGUCAUGAGAUAAAAGAAGAAAUGCUUCCUCUUACAACAAUUUGGUGAAUAUAGUCUUUGUUUUCCUGUUUUUCCUAAUAUAUGAAAUAAAACCUUUUAUGUGGCUACAUAGAA